AAGUCGUAACAAGGUUUCCGUAGGUGAACCAGCGGAGGGAUCAUUACUGAGUUCUACAAAACUCCCAACCCUUUGUGAAUUAUACCUUAGUUGCCUCGGCGUCGAGCGAGUCAACCUACCCGGGAGCUACCCUGGAGUCACCUACCCUGUAGAACCUACCCUGUAGAACCUACCCUGUAGGACCUACCCUGUAGACGGCUACCCUGGAGCUACCCUGUAGUUGCACUUUCGCGUCGCCGGUGGACUACCAAACUCUUAUAUGUAUAGUGUAUCUCUGAAUUCUUAACAAAAUUAGUUAAAACUUUCAACAACGGAUCUCUUGGUUCUG
rnacentral:misc_RNA from 1 species